UACGAAGGGGGCUAGCGUUGCUCGGAAUCACUGGGCGUAAAGGGUGCGUAGGCGGGUUUUUAAGUCAGGGGUGAAAUCCUGGAGCUCAACUCCAGAACUGCCUUUGAUACUGAAGAUCUUGAGUCCGGGAGAGGUGAGUGGAACUGCGAGUGUAGAGGUGAAAUUCGUAGAUAUUCGCAAGAACACCAGUGGCGAAGGCGGCUCACUGGCCCGGUACUGACGCUGAGGCACGAAAGCGUGGGGAGCGAUCCGG
rnacentral:rRNA from 1 species